UACGUAGGUGGCAAGCGUUGUUCGGAUUUACUGGGCGUAAGGGCGCGUAGGCGGCGCGUAAAGUCGGACAUGAAAUCAUUGGGCUUAACCCAAUGGCUGUGCCCGAUACUUGCGUGCUUAGAGUGCGGGAGAGGCAAUCGGAAUUCUCGGUGUAGCGGUGAAAUGCGUAGAUAUCGAGAGGAACUCCGGUGACGAAGGUGGGUUGCUGGACCGACACUGACGCUGAGGCGCGAAAGCUAGGGGAGCAAACGGG
rnacentral:rRNA from 1 species